AGGAUGAACGCUGGCGGCGUGCUUAACACAUGCAAGUCGAACGAUGAAGGCUGGAGCUUGCUCUGGCUGGAUUAGUGGCGAACGGGUGAGUAACACGUGAGUAACCUGCCCCCGACUCUGGGAUAAGCGCUGGAAACGGCGUCUAAUACCGGAUACGAGCUUCCGCCGCAUGGUGAGGAGCUGGAAAGAAUUUCGGUCUGGGAUGGACUCGCGGCCUAUCAGCUUGUUGGUGAGGUAAUGGCUCACCAAGGCGACGACGGGUAGCCGGCCUGAGAGGGUGACCGGCCACACUGGGACUGAGACACGGCCCAGACUCCUACGGAGGCAGCAGUGGGGAAUAUGCACAAUGGGCGCAAGCCUGAUGCAGCAACGCCGCGU
rnacentral:rRNA from 1 species